rnacentral:misc_RNA from 1 species
AAGUCGUAACAAGGUUUCCGUAGGUGAACCUGCGGAAGGAUCAUUACAAAUCAGAGUGGUGUUAUGGUAGGAGCAAUCCCGCCAUUGCCACACAUAUGCACAGGGUCGCUGCCCCGCAAGGUGGCGGCUGACUCUGAUGUUUACGCUUGCUUGUUUGACAGAUUUACAUGUACCACAAAAUAUUGACAACUUUUAACAAUGGAUCUCUUGGCUCUU